UCGAGAAUUUUUCUCAAUGGGGGAAACCCUGAAGGAGCGACGCCGCGUGGAGGAUGAAGGUCUUCGGAUUGUAAACUCCUGUCAUUGGGGAACAAAGCUUCCGGUUAACUGCCGGCGAGUCUGAUAGUACCCGAAGAGGAAGAGACGGCUAACUCUGUGCCAGCAGCCGCGGUAAUACAGAGGUCUCAAGCGUUGUUCGGAUUCAUUGGGCGUAAAGGGUGCGUAGGCGGCGAGGUAAGUCGGAUGUGAAAUCCCGGGGCUCAACCCCGGAACUGCAUUCGAUACUGCCUUGCUCGAGUACUGGAGAGGAGACUGGAAUUUACGGUGUAGCAGUGAAAUGCGUAGAUAUCGUAAGGAAGACCAGUGGCGAAGGCGAGUCUCUGGACAGUUACUGACGCUGAGGCACGAAGGCCAGGGGAGCAAACGG
rnacentral:rRNA from 1 species